UACGGGGGGGGCAAGCGUUGUUCGGAAUUACUGGGCGUAAAGGGCUCGUAGGCGGCCAACUAAGUCAGACGUGAAAUCCCUCGGCUUAACCGGGGAACUGCAUCUGAUACUGGAUGGCUUGAGUUCGGGAGAGGGAUGCGGAAUUCCAGGUGUAGCGGUGAAAUGCGUAGAUAUCUGGAGGAACACCGGUGGCGAAGGCGGCAUCCUGGACCGACACUGACGCUGAGGAGCGGAAGCCAGGGGAGCAAACGGG
rnacentral:rRNA from 1 species